UACGUAGGCAGCAAGCGUUGUUCGGAAUUACUGGGCGUAAAGAGUGUGUAGGCGGUGUUCUAAGUCUGGUGUGAAAUCUCCCGGCUCAACUGGGAGGGUGCGCUAGAAACUGGAAUGCUAGAGGAUGGGAGAGGUAAGCGGAAUUCCUGGUGUAGCGGUGAAAUGCGUAGAUAUCAGGAGGAACACCUGUGGUGUAGACAGCUUACUGGACCAUAACUGACGCUGAGGCACGAAAGCGUGGGUAGCAAACAGG
rnacentral:rRNA from 1 species